rnacentral:rRNA from 1 species
UACGGGGGGAGCAAGCGUUGUUCGGAUUUACUGGGCGUAAAGAGUGCGUAGGCGGUGUUCCAAGUCUGUUGUGAAAUCUCCCGGCUUAACUGGGAGGGUGCGGCGGAAACUGGAAUGCUGGAGUGUGGGAGAGGUAAGCGGAAUUCCUGGUGUAGCGGUGAAAUGCGCAGAUAUCAGGAAGAACACCCGUGGCGAAAGCGGUUCUCUGGGCCUUACCUGACGCUGAGGAGCGAAAGCGUGGGGAGCGAACAGG